UCCAUUCUUUCUUUCUUUCUCUCCCUCCACCCUCAGAUCCUCUCCCCUCUCCCCCGUGCAGCAAACCCUAGCCCCUCUCUUCCCCGCACAGCCGCCACCCUCGUCCUUUCCUCCGUCCUUCAGAUCCGCCGCCACCCACCUCCCCCGCCACCGCCACUACCACCGUCCUUCCCUCUCUGCCUCGCCUCUGUCUCCCACCAUCUCCCUCUCCCUCCCUCAGAUCCGCCGCCGUCCGCCUCCGCGCGGCCUCCAUGCGCACCCCGUCCUCGCCAGCCUCUGCACGCACCCCGUCCUCGCCCGCCUCCGCGCGGCCUCCACCUCCACCUCCAGCCCCACUGCACACCACUCCUCUCUCUCCCCGCGCGACGAACCCUAAUGCUCAGAUCCAGAUCCCUCCCAUCGCCGCCACCCACCUCCCCCGUCUCCCUCACCUCGCCGCCGGCUACGACCUCGGCUCUCCCCUCCCCUCCCCCAUCAGAAGAGAUCCGAUCUCCCAUCGACAUCCUCCUUCCUCCUGCUCUGGGCAACCAGUUCCCCUUCCAACCUCCAACCAACAUCCCACCACCGCGCUACCACGCCCUCCCUCCAACCCCUUCUCCAGUGGAACCGCAUCUCCCCGAGCGCCGCCGCCGCUGUUGAGCACCCGCCGCCGCAGGGAUCCGCGCUGCGUCCCGAGCCAAUCGCGCUCUACGACGGAGAGGCGAUGGAUUCGGCAGGCGCCUCGAAGCCCGAGGAGGAGGUGGUCGCUUACCAGAGCAGCGAGGCCAAGCAGGCGAGGCUGCAGUCCAUGCUCGCGGCGCUCCUCGACGACCCCAUUCUGGCUGACGUCCCGAGGAAGCCCUCGCUGGCGGACGUGGACACGCUCAUCAACCUCGAGCUCGGCAGCGCCAUGAGGGUGACCGUCGUCAAGCUGGACAACACCUCAUUCAGUAUAAUAUGGCCCUCUUCGAACCUCGCCCACAUUUUUGUCCAAAUCCCUUAUCGUGCGUUUAUCCCACAUCUCAAUUCGUGUUCUUCUUGUCGUUGUGGUGAGUGAUACAGAUGUCACGGUGUUGAACACUGCUACGCUCAAGGAUUUGAAGCUGGUUAUCAGGAAGUGAUAGUCAGAUUUAUUUGUCUGAAACUGUGGAAGGAUGAAUUCUGACAUCCAUGUCAUCUAAUUCAUUCAUGCUGACAUGUGUUGAUCUAAUUAGUUGACAUCCUUCGAAAUGCUGCCGAUUUGUCUUUGCUAUUUAAUAUAUCCUAUGAUGGGCACUAAGGCACUGUUGAUCCACCAAAAAUUUCUUAGUUUAGAUGGGUGUCAUUAUCUAAAUAAGCUGAGGGUCACAAGAUGUAUGGUAUUAACCUGAAUUCUUAGUAGGCUCGAGAUGUUGAGUCCUAGCUGAAGUCAUGUUUUAGUUUGACUUUGCAUUGUGUAUUGAAUAGCUGAAUCUAUGUACAUAAGGUUAUUCAAGCCUGCUUGAAUUAGAUUCCAAGCUGGAGCUUAUUCUAAUUUUUAGUUUGAUUUUGCACUGAACUUGACCUGUUUGGUAUUGACUAGCUGAAUGUGUGUACACAAGGUUAGUCAAACCCAUUCGAAUGAAGGUCCCUAUCUUAACUAAUCUAUUUCAGUUAAGCUAAGGAGAAUAUAAUGUUCGAAGGUUGUCCUCUUAAAGAAGUAUGAGCUCAACAUAGAAAGAAUUUUCUCUCUAAGAUGUUACACUGGUAUCUAUAUUCUAAACUAGGAUCCCAUUUCUGUGACUCCAUGAAGCUUCGGUCAUGUGGUUAUAAGUUUAUCUAGGACACUACAUUGUUUGCCUGUCUGAUAUAACGAGAGCACUGACUGCAAAGAGUUCUUGGCAUCAGUAUUUGUUAACGCUAAAUUGUCAGAAAGUAUUAUACCUAUUCAUCCAAGAAAGGCUACUGUGUAGUAUGAGGAUUGUAGUGCUGUUAAAAUAAACUGUAGAUUUGGGAAGGCUCAACUAAUUUAUUGCUGUGCAGAUAGAACAUUACUAGAUGCUGGGAAAAAUAAACUGAGAAAAUUACGUGCCGACAUACGUGUUCUGUAAUUAAAAAGCUUCAGCUGCAUAAGUGUAAAACUAGUUAGAGAUCCUACCUUAUUGAAUGUUAGCUAUGCUUAAUAAUAUGGCCUUCUAAGUUCUAUCACAAUGUUACCUCUUCAGCUGUAUAAUAACUGUCAGGCUUGUAUUGUAUUCCCCAAAAGUGCCAACUUGUAAACCCUACCUGAUGGACGUCAUAUACUGCUGGUCAAAGGUUGAGACAUCGAUUCUUAUCAUGCAUAAUCUUGACAUCUGAUGCAAUCAUACUCUGCAUCUGUAUUGUUGCUGCAGUUUUUGUAGUUAUAUUCUGUGUAGAGUCCUGAAACAUUUUCCUCACAGGGUGCCACCUUCGGAGAGGUGACAGAAAUGACUGACAUUUUUGAAGGAAGCAUCAUACGGCUAGUUAGGAGGCUGGAUGAAUUUCUGAAUCAGCUAAAAGCUGCUGCUGAAGCUGUUGGGGAGGUCAACCUUGAGAGUUUGCCAGCUAAAAGCUGCUGAAGCUUCUUGUUUCCCUUUCAUUUGUUAACUUGCACAGGGCAUGAUUGCUCUAUUGUCUAUUGUCUAGAAAAACUGAUCGCCUACCUGGGUGGCAUCUGCAUCGUGCUUUCCAGAUUAUUUGUGUGGUCAAAUGAAACGGUGAGUGGUAUUAAAAUGCUCAUGUAGACAGUGUUUAAGCAUUAGAAUGGUGUAGAUAGAGUUGCCCGGCAACUACAGUGUCUGUGAUAUUCGAGAUCCAGCGUAAAUAAGUGUUCAUCAGAAUAGAAUGUGAUUAUUUUUAUUGUUCUGGAUCUAUGACUCCGGUUGCAUAUCUUGUCAAACUCUUUUAGAGUUAUCUUGAUGAGUGUCCACGUCCCAAUAUUAUGACUAUCUCUAAUGAGUAUAAAUAUAAAUUAAUAUAGCUGCCAAUUUUAAGACAGAGCAAAGUGUCAAUGCAUUUCACACUUAUUGAUUCAUUAGGCUCGGUCAGUCGGUCUGAUCCUAUAGUGUUUAAAACUGAUAAUUAUGAUGCAUUGGUCCAUAUGGCCUUGUUUUUUGAUGCAUAUAUAUAUGAUGUAGUUGAUAGGCCUUGAUCUCAACCUCUCAAGUUUAUGUUUCCUUGUGUGUAGGUAACUUGUUAUUUUUAUUGGCAAGCCUGUAAUGAAUUUAUUAGAUUUUUGCUCCUAUUGCCGUGUACAGUAUGUCACAGGCUUGUGGAGCCUGUCAUUGUUCUUAGUGUGCUGUUGUGAUUCUUGAACGGUGUCAAUGGUCGUGUACAGGUUGUCUUUUGUAGUAUAAAAAGGGCCACUAUCAGCCGUAGGAUUGGGAUUCAUGUUGUGAAGAUCAUGAAUAUAUAUAUCUCAUUUUGCUGCUCUAUGCCUCAUUCUAAUUCUUCUCUGAUUCAUGUAACAUGAUGACAGUGGAAGCCAUCUUGUUGUUUUGUUUGUUCCCGGCCUUUACUAUGGUCGUCGAGCGAGUCCGACAUGUUGUUCAUCUAGUAGAGCUUGUUAGGAGUCUGAAUCUAAGAACUUGUAGAGCUUGUUAGUAUUACAAUUGUAGAGCUUGUUACACUUGUAGAGCUUGCAAAGCAGUAUGGUCUUCUGUUUUGGAAUGGAUAGAGCUUGUAUUA